rnacentral:rRNA from 1 species
GAUGAACGCUGGCGGCGUGCCUAAUACAUGCAAGUCGAGCGAACAGACGAGGAGCUUGCUCCUCUGACGUCAGCGGCGGACGGGUGAGUAACACGUGGAUAACCUACCUAUAAGACUGGGAUAACUUCGGGAAACCGGAGCUAAUACCGGAUAAUAUAUUGAACCGCAUGGUUCGAUAGUGAAAGACGGUUUUGCUGUCACUUAUAGAUGGAUCCGCGCCGCAUUAGCUAGUUGGUAAGGUAACGGCUUACCAAGGCAACGAUGCGUAGCCGACCUGAGAGGGUGAUCGGCCACACUGGAACUGAGACACGGUCCAGACUCCUACGGGAGGCAGCAGUAGGGAAUCUUCCGCAAUGGGCGAAAGCCUGACGGAGCAACGCCGCGUGAGUGAUGAAGGUCUUCGGAUCGUAAAACUCUGUUAUUAGGGAAGAACAAAUGUGUAAGUAACUAUGCACGUCUUGACGGUACCUAAUCAGAAAGCCACGGCUAACUACGUG